rnacentral:rRNA from 1 species
UCGGACGGACGGUGAGUAAUGUCUGGGAAACUGCCCGAUGGAGGGGGAUAACUACUGGAAACGGUAGCUAAUACCGCAUAACGUCGCAAGACCAAAGAGGGGGACCUUCGGGCCUCUUGCCAUCGGAUGUGCCCAGAUGGGAUUAGCUAGUAGGUGGGGUAACGGCUCACCUAGGCGACGAUCCCUAGCUGGUCUGAGAGGAUGACCAGCCACACUGGAACUGAGACACGGUCCAG